GAUGAACGCUGACAGAAUGCUUAACACAUGCAAGUCUUUGGCGAAUCUGUGCUUGCACAGGCUAGCCAAGGCGGACGGGUGAGUAACGCGUAAAGAACUUGCCCUGCAGACAGGGAUAACAGACGGAAACGACUGAUAACACCUGAUACAGUUGCCGGCACGCAUGUGCCUGGCAAUGAAAAGAGAUGCUGCAGGAGAGCGUUGCGUCCUAUUAGCUUGUUGGUGAGGUGACGGCUCACCAAGGCGAUGAUAGGUAGCCGGCCUGAGAGGGUGAACGGCCACAAGGGGACUGAGAUACGGCACUUACUACUACGGGAGGCAGCAGUGGGGAAUAUUGGACAAUGGGGGCAACACUGAUCCAGCAAUUCUGUGUGCAAGAAGAAGGUUUUCGGAGUGUAAAGAGCUUUCAGCAGGGAAGAAGAAAGUGACGGUACCUGCAGAAGAAGCGACGGCUAAAUACGUG
rnacentral:rRNA from 1 species